GGUAAGUUGGUACUUUGACUUUUUUUUUUUAACUUUAACCGUCCGUCUUAAUUUUAAAAAAUAAUUAAUAUUUUUAUUGUUAUUAGAUGAUAACAUAUGAAUAGUAUUUAUGCAUAAUUUUUUUAAUUUAUUCAAAAAAAAUUAAAUAAGACAAACGGUCAAAGUUGACACGGAAAUUCA
rnacentral:pre_miRNA from 1 species